GGACUAUCAGGUAGUAGUCAGGGUAAUGACCUGACCAGCCUACGACGGAUACGGGUUGUGAGAGCAAUAACCCGGAGAUGAUAUCUGAGACACGAUAUCAGGCCCUACGGGGCGCAGCAGGCGCGAAAACUUCACACUGUGCGAAAGCACGAUGAGGGAAUCCCAAGUGCUGGCUCGUAAGAGUCAGCUGUUUCUUUGUCUAGAAAACAAAGAGAGUAAGAGCUGGGUAAGACGGGUGCCAGCCGCCGCGGUAAUACCUGCAGCUCGAGUGGUGGUCGUUAUUAUUGGGCCUAAAACGUCCGUAGCCGGUCUAGUAAAUGCCUAGGUAAAUCGUACGGCUUAACCGUACGAAUUCUGGGUAGACUGCUGGACUUGGGACUGGGAGAGGCUAGAGGUACUCCUGGGGUAGAGGUGAAAUUCUGUAAUCCUAGGGGGACGACCAGUGGCGAAGGCGUCUAGCUAGAACAGGUCUGACGGUGAGGGACGAAGCCCUGGGGCGCAAACGGGAUUAGAUACCCCGGUAGUCCAGGGUGUAAACGCUGCUUGCUUGAUGUUAGUCGGGCUCCGAGCCCGAUUAGUGUCGGAGAGA
rnacentral:rRNA from 1 species